UACGGAGGGUCCAAGCGUUAUUCGGAAUUACUGGGCGUAAAGCGAGCGUAGGCGGUUUUGUAAGUCUGAUGUGAAAGCCCUCGACUCAAUCGAGGAAGUGCAUUGGAUACUGCAAGGCUAGAAGAUAGGAGGGGAGAACGGAAUUCCUGGUGUAGAGGUGAAAUUCGUAGAUAUCAGGAGGAACAACGGUGGCGAAGGCGGUUCUCUGGACUAUAUUUGACGCUAAGGCUCGAAAGCGUGGGGAGCAAACAGG
rnacentral:rRNA from 1 species